rfam:Schistosoma margrebowiei strain Zambia genome assembly, scaffold: SMRZ_contig0002028
GCACUGCUGAGGAGUCCCACAAUAGGACGAAACCGCCUUCCAAUGC